GCAUUAGUAGCUCAGUCUUUAGAGCGUCGGUCUUGUAAACCGAAAGUCGAGGGUUUAAAUCCCCCCUUCUGCU
rnacentral:tRNA from 1 species